GAUGAACGCUGGCGGCGUGCCUAACACAUGCAAGUCGAACGGCAAGACCCUGAGUUUGUGCGCUUAUCGAUUGCCGAACGGGUGCGUAACACGUGUGUAACCUGCCCUUGACUUUCGGGUAAGUUCAGGUAACUGGGCCUAAUAUAAGAUCGCAUCUCCUCCUCCAUUGUGGGGAUUGGAAAUUCUGGGCGGUUGGGGAUGGAUUCGCGGGUUACCAGCUUGUUGGUGGGGUAGGGGCUUACCAAGGCAUUGACGGGUCGCCGGCCUGUGAGGGUGGACGGCGACAAUGGGACUGAGGUACGGACCAGUGUGGUACGUGAGGCAGCAGUGGGAAAUAUUGCACAGUGGGCGCAAGCCGGAGGAAGCAACGCCGCGUGCGGAAUGACGGCCUGUGGGUAGUGAACCGCUGUCGCCUGUGACGAAGCGUGAGUGACGGUAAUGGAUAAAGAAGCACCGGCUAACUACGUG
rnacentral:rRNA from 1 species